rnacentral:lncRNA from 1 species
GAUUUCAAUACUGCAGUUAUGGGCACCAUUCGCUUGUGAAUCUCGAUUCUUAUUGCUUGUACUUGUGUUGUGUUGUGUUGAUAAUUGUACCGAUUGAUGUGCAGCGCUGUCUAUAUUGGUUCAUCGGGGUCAUUGCUGCUAGCAUAUUUGUAUAGUCUUGAAUGUACAGCUAGCAGACCGAUACAAAUACCCCACCUGUUAGUAAAACGGUAAUUAGACAAGGUUGAAUACAUUUGAGUUUCAUAUAUUGUAUCAGUUCCUUUUCCAGAGAACAGAUAAUUAUGUGUGUGUGUGUGUGUGUGUGUGUGUAAUUAAGUCCUGUUGAAUAGCUUUGUUGCUUGUGCACCAAUCAAUCUUUCCCCUUUUCGUGUUACAUCUAUAGUUGAUCUGUUUAUUAUGAUUUCCAAGUCCGGUUUCUGGGUUUGUAGCUUCAUCGAGUAUUUACUCUGCCGUACUUAUGAUACUUUACAACCAAGGACAGAAUCAGACUCUCAUUUCCCCCUCACUUUUGAGAACAGUAAAAUGGCUCGUGUUAGGAACUCUAGUCGUUUUCCCAUCAAAUGAAGUCUUUUCGGAAAUUUAAAAAAAAAAAAAAAAAAAAAAAAAAAAGAAAUUCGUGUAACAAGUGAAGUCUUUUCGGAAGUUCCGAUCAACUAAAAGAAAGGUGUAAAAGUGAAGCGUGGGCAAAAGUUGAGACCAAAAUGCAGAAAUUCCAAGUAAAGAAACGUUUCCACCAAGUUUGUAAUACAUGACGGAGCAACUAGUGCGGCUAAAGAAGAACUAACUGGCCGUGAAGAAUGGGGUAUAAGUCCAGACUUAAACCAGAUACAGCGUUAAACCGCAACAUGUAUCGCAAGUUUCACUUUUACACAUCUAUGACUUCAAACCUGAGAUAUAGUAGAUUCAAAGUCCUAACAUACAACCGUAAGUCAACCCAAAAUAUUUUAUUAACAUUUUGGCCAAAAGUUCGGGAGAAAAAAGAGGGAAUCUUCUUUCUUGCCAGAGAUACAUCCCUUUUUAUUAGUCGCACUAAUCAUGUGACAUAUAAACAUAAAAAGAUAUAUCUCUACAACAUUCAUCAUGUGUAAACGUAAGGAGAUAUCUCUGUUGUAGGUCUCAAAGUGAAGGCGUUGCAAGGUCCAUAGUAAGUGCAAAGACGCAUAUACUGUGGGUCUGAUUUUGAUUUCUUUGUCCCCCAAAAUGCAUGCCAAUAAUAUAAUGAAAAAUUAUUUGUAAGACUCGUGCUAAUACAUGUAAGGAGAGAUUCAAACUUAAGAAAUUUGAAAAUUUUGCUUUGAAUACUACUAUCAUAGAUCAAACUCAUUUUUUCUGUUAUGAGUCCUGACCCAUUCAAAUUUUAAUGCUGUCCACAAUAGAAAAAGAGCACAUUGGUGCUUAUAAAUACCCAUAUAUCUAACCCUCCACAUAACACAUCCUUCAUAUUUUUAAGCUAGCUAUCUUUGUUUAAUAUCCAUAAAUAUAAGAUCAAUAGAUCACCAUGAGGUUUCUUAAUGUUUUAUUCACAGUUACAACAGUUGUAUUUCUCAUGAGCAUGAACUUGCAUGAGGCUAGUGCAGGCAGGGUGUUGCAUGAUGAGAAAGAAAACUUGAUGACGAUGGGCAACUACAUCGUGUUGGAGUCGAAGCAGAGGGCCGACCAUCCUCCUCCUGGUGGAUCUAAUCCGAAGGUCCCUGCUAUGUCGAAUGAUCUUGACAGUUCAACGAUCAACCAAAGGAACUUUGCAGGCCACACAACUACUCCGCCUUCUCCACAUGAUGUAUACCCCCAUAAUGCCGUGGCUACAGAUCAUAAAUCAUUUAGUUGAUUAACAAUAUCUACAGAAAUCCCAACCUAAUACGAUGCAUCAAUGUGAUGGAAAAUACACGAAUAAGUAGAGGGGAAAAACCUAGUUUAAUUUUUCACAUUUAUUUUCAUUAUACCUUUCUUUUAUCUGUGUUUCUUCUUGAAUAAAAAAAAUAGCGAAUUCUCAUGCAACUAUCUUAUUUCUUCUUUAUGCAGUAUGAGUGUUGAGACUGUAUGAGAAUUUUUUUUUUUUUUUUUGGUGGGAAUAAGACGUUAGUUUAAAAUACUCCAUUUGAAAGUCAACAUAAGCAUUCGGAACAAAAGCAUCGUCAAAAGAUGCGCUGCCCGAACACUAUCAUGGGGCAAAACAAAGAAAUAAACAAAAACACAUACAAGUGUUUACAAUCAUAUCGUGGAAAUGUCAAGUUACACUUGAUACACUGCUGCAGUGAUCCUCGGUAAAAAACCACCACAUGAGAGAAAUACACCUAUCCAUCUUUAGACUCAUCCGGAUUAGGAAAAUACAGCUAUCUAUCUUUACAAAUGAGACGAGAAAACAAGUAUAGCGCAAGCUUUAGACUCAUCCGGAUUAGGAAAAGGAACCUGAGACCUCUUCAAUCCUAUCUAUCUUCCAGUGUAGCUUCUUGAAGGAUCAUAAAAAAUGUAAUGCUUUGCCGACCUCUCAUCUGCAUCCCACUGAAAUCCGAUGGAGUCCACCAUCACAACCAUUUUAACUUUCCGGCGUCCGCCAUAGGCAAAUAACGAGAUUCAUAACACUCGUUUAAUGUUUAUUGUGAAAAGGCAAAUGUUUGUGCAGGUAUAGAAUUGUUCGUGACAACCCAAAAUAACCUUGGUGCAACGACAUUUCGCAUGAUCUGGGUAGAGCAGAAGGCGGUGAUCAAACCUAUGUAAUUCAGAAGAUACUUAAGGCUAGCCAGGAAUUUGGGUUUUAAAUUUUUUCAGGUAAAUUAUUAAGAAGUCAAAUUAAAUACUAUUCCUUGAUCAAGUAACCUUUGCUUCAAAUUUUCAAUACUAUGUUAUGUGUCGUGCAAUUAAUGUUUUUUUUGAGAAACUUUAGGCAACGAAAUAUUUUUUACGGGCAAAGUAAUCUUAGUCGGGAAAAGCUUGCGCGCCAAGGGGGAAAAUUGGCACAUAUUAUGCCACAUUUUGCGUGACGAAAAUUUGUUUGUCGACUGACGCAUUCGCAUGCAUCUUCAAUUCCUUCGAUGAAUUUUGCAGUCUGCGAAAUUAACUUCAACAAUUCAACCGUCAAUGUAGUUGAUAGGUAUAUACUCAUGAGAUGUCAUAUGGCAACAUCAGCCAAAUGCAAGUUUCCGAGAUAAGGUCACGAAACAAAAAAACGUAUCAUCACGAAACAAAAAAACGUAUCAUCAUGAACGAACCCGAUUAUCAUUUUAAAAUAUUUACACUAGUGAUUACCACAAAAUCUUACAUUCUACUUAAUAGAAGUAUAUAAUAAACUCUAAAUAUUUGUUAUAAUCUAUUGUUUUGAUGCAAUAUGUGGUCUAUGAAACUAAUUUCAACUAUGCAAUCAUCAAAUUUGUUUGAAUAUAUACGAGAUUUGCAUACGCCAAAAUUCACUAAAAAUAAACUUUCAGGGAUUAGGUAACGGGAUGAAAUCAUUUGAUCGUUACAAACGUAUCAUCAUGAUUUUGAUGGUUUUUUGCAAGGACACUAAUUCAGGAUAAAACUACAUACUAGACUGACAUGAUCAUCAAAUUCGAUUGAUGAUCUUUUAACCUUAAAAAAAAUUGAAUUUUUUAGGUUUGCCUGACGAAAUUGGGAAAAUUUGUCGCCCAAACUUAUCUAAAUAUCGUUGAGCAACAUCACUAAAUUCGUCGGGCAGACUUUCAAAAUUUUCCCAAAAAAAUCAAACUUUCCCCUAGAUUUAGGGUUUGCCCGAUGAAAUAUUGUACACUUUGUCAUGCAAAGGUAUUUUCCCACCAAUUUUUACGGCAAAACAUUAAGUGCACGACGCAUUUUCUCCCCUACAAAAUUCCUAGAAAAGUCACAAAUUUCACAAACUUCCUACAUAAUUUCACAAAUUUCUUACAAAGUUCACAAUAUUUCACAAAUUUCACUCUACCUCUAGUUCGAGUUAGAGUGACCCAGCAGCAGAGAUACCCAGCGACACCCAGGCGGCCAUUGCCGAGUCGACGGCCUGGCUCACUGCAUCGGCUUCACAAGGCAGGGUGCCCCGAUCUGCCAUGCAUGUUUAUAGCUGGAGCCAGCAUGAGGCUAUGCCAGCUCAAAAUCUACCCUGUUGACGGCACAUAGGGCGAUGCCUAUUCGCCAAACCCCCUAAGGGGGAUAGAGAACUACCAGCCAAGAAGUAGGUCAAAGUGCAGAGAGUCUGUAAUGGCUUGGCCUCGAACCGGGUCACCCGCGUAAUGCAAAACAAGAUCGUGAUUGUUUACGACUCACAACAUUGGCGAGCAUGCCUUAAAGUCAAUAUCCAGUUGACUCACAACAUUAGAGCCAUCCUCCACACCAAGCGCCCCAUAGCGGGGGCUUCAUGGAAGAAGCUCCGCUCUUAGUGUAGAAGGAGAUGAUGAAACAGAUCUCGGUACAUGUGGAUUUUUUUUAAUUUAUUACUUUUACUUUUUCAAUGUAUUUUUUUUUAAAUGAAUACACUUGUUUUUUUCUUUCUAUUUCAUGUCAACUUCACCAUCGACAUGGAGUACCCAAUAUGUUUGAGUACUUAAACCGGGUGUGGAUUGAACGGUACAAGGAGUGGAAGUACAAAUUGUAUGUGUACUACAACACUUGUGCAUCUCUUGUUGAAGCUCCCACCUCUAUUCUCGAGGUUUGCAGAGAUGUUAGCCGAGUGGGAGUGGAUGUGUGAUCAUUUUCUAAGCCUCGAAUUUCUGUAAUUAAGUUCUUUUUUUUUUAAAUUUAAUUCUAAUUUUCUUUUCUUUUUUUUUUCAAAGUUAAUUUAUUUUCAAUUUAAUUAUUUUUUUAAAUUCACAUUGGAAAUCGCAGAAGCGAAGCAAUACUUUUAUCACUCUCGUCCUCGGGCCCUCACUUUAUGGGUUGAGGAAAAGCAUGAGAAGGGUUCGUGUUUUUCAAAAGUUUAGGCUUGGGGGAUAUGCAUGCCAAUUAUGGAAACCAAGUGACUCACAAUAUUUAUGUAAGUAUUCCAUUCAAAAUUUUAAUUUCAACAUUCAUUACACUUA